UUUCGCCAGAAUACAUUAGCAUGGAAUAAUACUAUAGGAUCUUGGUUCUAUUUUGUUGGUUUCUAGAAUUGAGAUAAUGAUUAAUAGGGACAAUUGGGGGCAUUCGUAUCAACACGUCAGAGGUGGAAUUCUUGGAUUGUGUUGCGACGAACUACUGCGAAAGCAUUUGCCAAGGAUGUUUUCAUUGAUCAAGAACGAAAGUAAGGGGAUCGAAGACGAUUAGAUACCGUCGUAGUCUUUACCAUAAACUAUGCCGACUAGAGAUGGGGCAUCGUUCAUUUACGACUUGCUCCGCACCUUAUGAGAUAUCAAAGUCUUUGGGUUCCGGGGGGAGUAUGGUCGCAAGACUGAAACUUAAAGGAAUUGACGGAAGGGCACCACCAGGAGUGGAGCCUGCGGCUUAAUUUGACUCAACACGGGGAAACUCACCAGGUCCAGACAUAAUAAGGAUUGACAGAUUGAUAGCUCUUUCUUGAUUUUAUGGGUGGUGGUGCAUGGCCGUUCUUAGUUCGUGGAGUGAUUUGUCUGCUUAAUUGCGUUAACGAACGAGACCUUAACCUGCUAAAUAGGAGCGCCUAUCUCCGGAUAAGCGUCUUUCUUCUUAGAGGGACUUUAUGCGUUUCAGCAUGAGGAAGUUUGAGGCUAAAACAGGUCUGUGAUGCCCUUCGAUGUUCUGGGCUGCACGCGCGCUACACUGAUGCGUUCAACGAGCGUACAACCUUGUCCGAUAGGGUUGGGUAACCUUUUGAACACGCAUCGUGAUGGGGAUAGAUUAUUGCAAUUAUUAAUCUUCAACGAGGAAUUCCUAGUAAUGGCGAAUCAUCAGUUCGUCGUGAUUACGUCCCUGCCCUUUGUACACACCGCCCGUCGCUCCUACCGAUUGAGCAAUCCGGUGAAUAUUUCGGACCGAAUGGCUGCGGGGUAACCCAUGGCUGUUUGGAAAGUCAAGUAAACCUUAUUGCUUAGAGGAAGGAGAAGUCGUAACAAGGUUUCCGUAG
rnacentral:rRNA from 1 species